rnacentral:rRNA from 1 species
AUGAACGCUGGCGGCGUGCCUCAUACCUGCAAGUCGCGCGAACAGACGAGGAGCUUGCUCCUUUGACGUUAGCGGCGGACGGGUGAGUAACACGUGGAUAACCUACCUAUAAGACUGGGAUAACUUCGGGAAACCGGAGCUAAUACCGGAUAACAUGUUGAACCGCAUGGUUCAACAGUGAAAGACGGUCUUGCUGUCACUUAUAGAUGGAUCCGCGCCGCAUUAGCUAGUUGGUAAGGUAACGGCUUACCAAGGCAACGAUGCGUAGCCGACCUGAGAGGGUGAUCGGCCACACUGGAACUGAGACACGGUCCAGACUCCUACGGGAGGCAGCAGUAGGGAAUCUUCCGCAAUGGGCGAAAGCCUGACGGAGCAACGCCGCGUGAGUGAAGAAGGUCUUCGGAUCGUAAAACUCUGUUAUUAGGGAAGAACAAAUGUGUAAGUAACUAUGCACGUCUUGACGGUACCUAAUCAGAAAGCCACGGCUAACUACGUG